rnacentral:rRNA from 1 species
UACAGAGGUCUCAAGCGUUGUUCGGAUUCAUUGGGCGUAAAGGGCGCGUAGGCGGCGAUCCGAGUCAGAUGUGAAAGUCCUGGGCUUAACCUGGGGACUGCAUUUGAUACUGGAUUGCUUGAAUGCAGGAGAGGAUAGCGGAAUUCCCGGUGUAGCGGUGAAAUGCGCAGAUAUCGGGAAGAACACCCCGUGGCGAAGGCGGUUCUCUGGGACGGUACUGACGCUGAGACGCGAAAGCGUGGGGAGCGAACAGG